rnacentral:ncRNA from 1 species
UUAUACUUGCCGCCGGGUAAGCACGUUUUUACGUUGGUUUUCGUAUCGUUAGGCCUUUGAAGAUACGAGAUACCAGCUUUUUUUAUG